rnacentral:rRNA from 1 species
UACGUAGGUGGCAAGCGUUGUCCGGAAUCACUGGGCGUAAAGCGUGCGCAGGCGGUUUUGUAAGUCUGUCGUGAAAUCCCCGGGCUCAACCUGAGAAUUGCGAUGGAGACUGCAAGGCUAGAAUCUGGCAGAGGGGGGUAGAAUUCCACGUGUAGCAGUGAAAUGCGUAGAGAUGUGGAGGAACACCGAUGGCGAAGGCAGCCCCCUGGGUCAAGAUUGACGCUCAUGCACGAAAGCGUGGGGAGCAAACAGG